GUACGUAGAUCCAUCGUCAUAAAUAUAAUUCUUCUUUUCAUAUUCACGGUACGAGGAAAUGAAGAAUGGCGUGUCGGUUGAGAGUUUAAUUCGAUUUAGAAAUGCAAGAAACCUUUUGUUCGGCUGAGACCAGUCGGUCACGCAACUUUAUUUCAAAUCUACCCCUUUUAUGCCUCUUCGUCCUUUCGUAAUGCUUUGCGAUAGUUCGCAUUUCUUUGUUCUUUAUUUUCUUUAGUGAAGGUAACGUUGGUCGUCGAGAGUUUAGAUUCUUUCGUUGUGCAAAGAAAAGUACGCGAAGGAAUAUUUCAAAUCGUAGAUUUAUUUAAAAAGAAAAAAACUAGGAGAACCCCAUGUGUUACCGUUUGGAAGAACACGAGGACCAAAAUAGAGAAUAAUCGUGGCAAUUGGUUUGUGCAUUUGUCUUUCUCUUUCUCUCUCUCUCUCUCUCUCUCUCUCUCUCUGGAAUGGUGGAACGACGUUAGUUAGAACGGGGGGAAAGCUAACAAAUUGUCCUAUCCAUUAAUCUCUCCAACGCAUACGCUUCUGAUCGAGAGACUAGGCGUUAAUAGUGGAAGAGAAUGAGAUCAAUUUGGUGUUUUCAUACUUAUGAACAAUGUCAUCGUCAUUGUUUCAAGAUUCAAAUGAACGAGACUAGAGGAUUCAUCUGGUAGAAAAGAAAUUCUCAUUCGUAUAUAACACAACUCAACUACAGAGAGAUAGAAAGAAAGAGAGAGAGAGAGAGAAAGAAAGAGAUAGUGCAUCAUGCGUGCGAGUAUUCGAGUUCAACGGGGAACAACCGCAGCCUUCCCUUGUCCACCGAGUUAAAUCAUAAAAUUGUCCGUGGGGUGGCCACGAAAUUCCACUGAUUUACGAGCAGCAGGUCGUCCGUUUUGCUCGUACUCGCGCCGAUGGCUCGAUGGAGUGUUACUGUGGACUUGGUUGAGGGAACGUUAAAAUAUUCCCUCUCUCUCUCUCUCUCUCUCUCUCUCUCUCUUUUCAUCUUUCUUUAUUUUUUCAGCUUCCCUCCUCUUUAUCUCCAUACUUCGUUUUCUUUCUUCCUCGCUGGAAGAUACCGUUUCACGUGUGUUUUUGUACAGUGAUCCUGGUCAUGGAGAAAUGACCACGAAAAAGGGAGAAAAACAAGCGCGACGUAUAGUACAGGAGAGGUUUCGAACUGGCUGCUGGGUGGAUGGCUGGUUGGUUGGUUGGUUGGAUGGUUGGCAAACGGCAAUGGAGAAAGGUAUUCGAUUGGACGUUACUCUCUGUAUCUGUGCGAUACUCGUUAGGUAAUGCACUACUCGAUGGAAGAAUCCUUGCUGUUUCCUACCCCGUUAAGCAGGUAUUGGACAUUGUAUCAGAACCAUUUUAAACAACUCGGAAAGCUACUCUCUCUCUCUCUCUCUCUUUACUCCGAUGACAUUACGAAAGCUGGAACAUGACAUAUUUGAAAGUCGAGAAGAAAAACCUUCAGGUAGAGACAAUACGAGAGAAAGCUAAAUGCACCUAGCCGAUUUUACAGGAUAAAGAAGAUGUAAUAAAAAAUUUUCGAUAAGCUGAGAUAUAUCAGAUUAACGAACAAUCAAACGGAUCGAUCAUUUCAAUAAGGUACACCCUUUUUUACCCAAGGGAUAAAACAUUUUCAAGAGAGGCAAAAACACAAAACGGACAUCGCAUGUUCUCUCAUCAGCGUAAUUGUUUCCUUUUCUACUACGUGCGAGAAGGAUGGGAAAUAGGAAAGAACGGAGUUUUGAUGUUGGCAUCGUCGUGCUAUUAUCACAGUCGUCAUUUUGGAUAGAAGGAAGGAAGGAAGGAGGGAUUGUGUUGUCAACUACCAAUAGAAAGAAAAGAAAAAUUCUGCCAUUUGAAUCAACAUCAGGAACAUUUAUUUUUUUUUUCUUUAUUAUACUUUUUCGUCCAUUUUCUAUACUUAGUAGUCGUUUCUCGUGGUCGUUGCAUUUUGUGGGUUCCGUGUACGGUGGCUUAAACGAAAAACAAAGGAAUGCAGUUUGAAGAGGGAAAAGGAAAAUACACGGAUUAAAGAGGAUUAAACGCUAAUUGAUCGGUCGGUCGAUUCCUCCUCCUCCUCCUCCUCGUUUUCGUACUCCUACUACACCCUCUUGCUUGUUUGAUAGCUUCCUUAGUGUUAGUCAGGGACACGGGUUCCUAGGUUAAAACACAAGAGGCAUCAGCCUAGGGGAAUAAUGGCUUUUGAGGAGAAAAUAAUAAUAUUAGAAGAAGCCGACGAAAUCAAAACGUUGUUUGGACAAACAGUUUCAUCUAAAAAUAGGAUUACAAAACUAGUUCUUUCAAUGUCUUUUUUUUUUAUUUUUUAAAUAAUUUAAUUUAAUUUAAUUUAAUUUAAUUUAAAAUAAGUCACACAAGUCGACCUAAAAAUGUCACAUAUUUUUAUAAACCAACUCUGAUUAUUAUUAAUAAUAAUUUUUUUUUAUUUAACGUUAGUUUUAAUCGUUCGAUAUUAUUGUUGGUUCCUUAACAUCGAAGAGUUGGGAGUGGAAGUGAAUAUUUAGUGUUGCAACAUGAAUGCAAAAAGAUUGACACUCUUUUUUCCAAGUCAGGAGGGAUCGUGAUUAUUCAAAUUGUGUCAUCGACUCGUACUCUCACGAGUUGAAAUAAAUUUUAUUCGCAUUGA
rnacentral:lncRNA from 1 species